CAAGGCGCGGCCAAGAGCCCCUUCCUUCACACGUGUAGACAAAGGGACCCAUCAACACAACCCUAAUAUGCAGGGAAAAGUUUUCCCGUGCGCGCGACUCCACGCCAGGACCUCGCGAGGCGCCCAGGCCAGAACUGUUUUAAACGGACGUCCUCUCAAGGAUUUAUUUCAUUAUUUUCUGCUGUGGGAUAUUACUUUCCUCCGGGAUUAUUAGACUGGCCAUAAUGAGAAUUAUUCUUUUCCACUUCUACAAACAACGGAGAAGCUAAAGAUCAGAUCUGUUGCAGUGGUGAUGACAGGAAGUGGAUGAUUUGCUCAAGAGGAGUCGUCUGGCGUGAGGGUUCAGCUCUUGUUGACUGAUCAAGAGAAGCAGAAGCAUGUCACGCUUGUGUUUUUGUGAUCUGCUGGCAGUCUGCUCACAUCCCACGCUCUGAGUCAGGCGUUCUAGCACUGAUCCAGGACCAGCCUCUGCAGACCCACCACAAGCUUCUGAAAGAGCGUGGAGCUGACUUCAGAUCAGCAGCUGAUGUGAUCUCAGACGCAGAUAAUCAAGUGUCUUCCUGAGGAAGAAGCAGGGCUAGCAGUGUGGCACGAAGGUCUCCUCCAGCCGGAUGUUUGCAGCGCUCAGUCACACACCUGCAGUGGGAUGCAGGCGACACGUUCAGCGUGACGAUGUUUACUGGCCUGCUGCGGUGGAGAUCUGCUGCUGAAGUCACACAGAUGGCUCUCUUCCAGAGGAUGCAUUUAGAAAUAUUUGGUGAAAGGAGAGCACUGGUGUGUGAGACCCUGUACAGACCAGACUCUUCAUGCCGCUCCAGGUGGGCUGCUGCUGUUAUGGUUGGUUUGAAGUGGGUUUUGUUGGUUUACCCACACAAUGCAUAAUGUUCACCAGCAAAACAUGAUCGAUGAUGCAGCAAGACUACUUCAAGUAAACAACAGCUCACACACUUGAUAGCAUUACUUUGUCACAUCACAUUCAAACUUGAAAUGACCUGAAAAAUACAUAUAUUUGAGUGUUUUUUAGUGUAGAGUAAGUUUGGUCAAAAUAAAGACACAUUUCAGUGUCGGCAGUGUUUACUGAGCUUUGAUGACUGAUGAUCCGAAUAUUAAAAAUAAUAACCGAACAUUAGUUUACAAGCUAGAUAUGCAUGGAUUUUAUUUAACGUGUUAAGUCAUUAUUUGGGAAUUAAUGUAAAGAAUAGUAUUUAUACUUGAGUUUAGAACAUAUCUAUUUCAGUGUAAACAUACAAAAUACAAUAGUUGUGUUUGUUAUUGGAGUGUGAGUAAUGUUUAACCUGGAAAAUGUCUUAUGAGUGUAACUGGAACACAAAUUUACAUUGAAUAAAACAGAAGCAAACAAACGAAGCCAGUCCUUAUUUUUGAAGCACCACACACGCAUUGGAACACACUGAUCAGUCGCCCUUCACGGCUUCAAGAAAUGUGACACACUUUCAAAACAAACACUUUCAAACAGGAAGCAGUGGGUUCAGCUACCAAGAAUAUUUCCAGACUGUUGGUGCAUUUGUGAGAAUACGAGACCAGCUUUGGUGUUGUCUUUCCUGACUGCAGGUGAUUUACAAUCAUUCAGACCCAAUCAUUACUCACUGACAAAUGUGUGCGCUUAUGAGUUUAGACACUGUGCACCCGUGUCGAUGGAGGUUCAGCGGUGCUGUGU